GAUGAACGCUGGCGGCGUGCCUAAUACAUGCAAGCCGAGCGAAUGGAUUAAGAGCUUGCUCUUAUGAAGUUAGCGGCGGACGGGUGAGUAACACGUGGGUAACCUGCCCAUAAGACUGGGAUAACUCCGGGAAACCGGGGCUAAUACCGGAUAACAUUUUGAACCGCAUGGUUCGAAAUUGAAAGGCGGCUUCGGCUGUCACUUAUGGAUGGACCCGCGUCGCAUUAGCUAGUUGGUGAGGUAACGGCUCACCAAGGCAACGAUGCGUAGCCGACCGGAGAGGGUGAUCGGCCACACUGGGAAUGAGACGCGGCCCAGACGCCUACGGGAGGCAGCAGUAGGGAAUCUUCCGCAAUGGACGAAAGUCUGACGGAGCAACGCCGCGUGAGUGAUGAAGGCUUUCGGGUCGUAAAACUCUGUUGUUAGGGAAGAACAAGUGCUAGUUGAAUAAGCUGGCACCUUGACGGUACCUAACCAGAAAGCCACGGCUAACUACGUGCCAGCCGCCGCCGCCG
rnacentral:rRNA from 1 species